rnacentral:rRNA from 1 species
CAGCAGCCGCGGUAAUACGGAGGGUGCAAGCGUUAAUCGGAAUUACUGGGCGUAAAGCGCACGCAGGCGGUUUGUUAAGUCAGAUGUGAAAUCCCCGGGCUCAACCUGGGAGCUGCAUCUGAUACUGGCAAGCUUGAGUCUCGUAGAGGGGGGUAGAAUUCCAGGUGUAGCGGUGAAAUGCGUAGAGAUCUGGAGGAAUACCGGUGGCGAAGGCGGCCCCCUGGACGAAGACUGACGCUCAGGUGCGAAAGCGUGGGGAGCAAACAGGAUUAGAUACCCCGGUAGUCCCUGUCUCUUAUAC